rfam:TPA: Bos taurus chromosome 9, whole genome shotgun sequence.
UCCCUGGUAUCUCAGAGGUUAAAGCAUCUGCCUGCAAUGCAGAAGAGCCGGGUUCGAUCCCUGGGUUGGGAA